UACGUAGGCAGCGAGCGUUGUUCGGAGUUACUGGGCGUAAAGGGUGUGUAGGCGUUCUUUAAGUUUGGUGUGAAAUCUCCCGGCUCAACCGGGAGGGUGCGCCGAAUACUGAGGGACUCGAGUGCGGGAGAGGAAAGUGGAAUUCCUGGUGUAGCGGUGAAAUGCGUAGAUAUCAGGAGGAACACCGGUGGUGUAGACGGCUUUCUGGACCGUAACUGACGCUGAGACACGAAAGCGUGGGUAGCAAACAGG
rnacentral:rRNA from 1 species